rnacentral:rRNA from 1 species
CCUACGGGAGGCAGCAGUGAGGAAUAUUGGUCAAUGGACGCAAGUCUGAACCAGCCAUGCCGCGUGCAGGAAGACGGCCCUACGAGUUGUAAACUGCUUUUGUACGAGGGUAAACGCAGACACGCGUAUCUGUCUGAAGGUAUCGUACGAAUAAGGAUCGGCUAACUCCGUGCCAGCAGCCGCGGUAAUACGGAGGAUUCAAGCGUUAUCCGGAUUUAUUGGGUUUAAAGGGAGCGUAGGCGGUUGGUUAAGUUAGUGGUGAAAUCCCGAGGCUCAACCUCGGAAUUGCAUCUGAUACUGUUCGGCUAGAGAGUAGUUGCGGUAGGCGGAAUGUGUGGUGUAGCGGUGAAAUGCUUAGAGAUCAUACAGAACACCGAUUGCGAAGGCAGCUUACCAAGCUGCUACUGACGUUGAGGCACGAAAGCGUGGGGAUCAAACAGGAUUAGAUACCCCUGUAGUC